GCAGUUGUCUUUGGUAGUUUUUUUGCACUAACUUCAGGAGCCAGCUCAUGAUCAGGAUGAUCAUGACCAUGAUCAGGAAGAUCAUGACCAUGAUCAGGAUGUAUGAAAAAAUAAUCUUUGUAUUACUAUUGUCAGAAAUUGUGAGCAUACCAGCAUCAAAUACCACCGGUGAGGUAAUGCACACUUCAAUCUCUUCUUCGGUCACAAAGAGUUACAUCACACCACAGACAAAUGACAAGCACAAACAGGACACAUAUCCAGCCACUCCUAGUGCUCAUGAAGUUUCAGAAAUUUCUGUUAUAACCAUUCACUCUCCAGAAGAGGAAAACGGUAUGUUCUUAGUUUUAAGUAGUUGCUCUGGAGUCAUUGUUGUGAUUGAACUCUAUUUACACGAGCUGUAACUCAUGACAGUUCUCAAACUUUCAUGACAGAAAACCCAUCUGUUUUACUCCAAAGCCCAUAUAGCACCCACAACUAUUAACUGUGACCAAGAAAGAGAAGGCAAGCCCCAAUUAACCUUUGUACGUAAAACCUAAAGAAUGAAAAAAUAUACCUGAAUCCUUAAUCAUCAAACAACAUAGGUAUAUACUAAGUAAUUUGUAAUAAUUAAACUCUAGAAAAUUGUGUGGCUUUGGUAGUAAGAGAGCUUCAUGA
rnacentral:sRNA from 1 species